GUAAGUCGAUUACAUUGUCGUUGGGACAAUACAUAUCACCUCAUUAAAACGAAAGCUAAGACUACAAAGUACAUGUACCUGCAUCACAAGUUUUCACAAGAUUACAAAGUACAUCAGUGAAAAGCAAAGCCAGCGAGGUUGAAUCAAAUUCAUAACAGCUCAAACGGCUAUAGAGUUAAAUAUCAUCACCAUCCAAGUCAUAGACUUGCAGCAUAAUCCAGGCUACAUCACCACCCAAGCCAUGACAUUCACCUGCAAUCAACUCACAAAACCAUGAGAACCGUGACUCGUAAUCACAUAGGAAGAAGGUGAGGCCUACGUAAGGGCCAAGACAUAACGAGUGUCGCAAGCUUCCGUAAUAAAGUUUAAGAUGAACAUACCAUGAUUUAGAAAACCUGGUCUAUAAACAAAGACCUGCCACAAGAUUGCAGCACAAGACCUGCAGCCUACACAUAGAAAUAUUGCUCAGGAUCCCACCUUUCACUCAUGACAUACCUGUUACAACAGAAAUGGAGAAAUCAACAUAACUUGAGCUGUUUAUUCCAAAAACACAAGACCAAACAUAAAAAAAAACAUGAAUAUGCAAGUUACCUUAAAUAAGUCCCAAAACCCCUGUUUAAGGUUGGAUCUAGAGUAAGCCUCAAGGACGAUUGUUGCAUGACAUUUGAUUACGGUGUGCUUAAGGUUGAAUCCAUGCGGAUAUUUCUCCAGGACCAUUCUCAUUCAUUCUAAACCCCACAAGUCACUUGCCAAUCCAAGGUUACAACUUAAGCGAUGACAUUUGAUUACGGUGUGCUUAAGGUUGAAUCCAUGCGGAUAUUUCUCCAGGACCAUUCUCAUUCAUUCUAAACCCCACAAGUCACUUGCCAAUCCAAGGUUACAACUUAAGCGCGCCAUACUCUAAGCAUACGAUUGAAAAAAACCUGCGAAAAAUUCAAGAAUUACAUGACAGUAAAAGCAAAGUUCUUACCGUGACAUGUAGAUCUUUCACGGCAGUGAAUAAGAAACUCAAAAUAAACAACGUGCUUGAGAGAUUUUGCUACAGACAAACCUUAAACCUUAAUACCUUCAUUUUGGGGACCACGUCAAAAGGGAGGACCACCAAAUCUGGACGAGAUUCUUUUGGCUAACGGAUUGAUUCAACAAACUUCUGCCAGCUCAUGAUUUGAAGACCUCAUUUC
rnacentral:lncRNA from 1 species